rnacentral:lncRNA from 1 species
GGUGGAAGUGGGACGGGGGAAGUGAUUUUCGGUGAAAACUGACCACUUCCGCUGUUUGGUUCACCGUAAUUUUAUUAGGCCCGAAAGUCCAGUUCACCUAAAAUAAUGAACUUGACUUCGCCCUCCCAUGGGGCGAAGUCAAUUCCGGUGAAGUGAAAAAAAGACAAGAAUUCUUGGAUUAAUGUGUUAGGGUUACCUUUUCUAAAAUAUGAUCAAAUUUGAUUAGGUAAGCUUUAAUAUAUUUUUUGUUUAAUUUGUACAUUUAGAAAAUAAUGAAAAAUGAAUUUGUUGAAUGUUAAUAAUUUUUUAACUUUAGAAUUUUAUUUGUUGCAUUAUUAUAAUUUAUAUGCAAACAAAUAAUAUAAUUUUUUAAAAUUAUAUUUUAUAAUUAUACAUAUAUAUAAUUAUAUACAUAUAUAAUUAUAUUAAUUUUAUUUAUUAUAAUUUAUUAUUCACUAUAAGUUACAAAAUAGACAAUGAUAUCACUUUGGAGGUAAGUAUACCGAAGGUGGAGAGCUACACUUUUUACGUCAUCUACUUUCUACCAAACAAACAACAGAACUCACAAAACUGUACUUCCACAGUUAGAAACAAACAGCAGAAGUGAACUAAUUUUGUCACGCCC